rnacentral:rRNA from 1 species
AGAUUGAACGCUGGCGGCAUGCCUUACACAUGCAAGUCGAACGGCAGCACGGGGGCAACCCUGGUGGCGAGUGGCGAACGGGUGAGUAAUGCGUCGGAACGUGCCCAGUAGUGAGGGAUAACUAGUCGAAAGAUUAGCUAAUACCGCAUACGACCUAUGGGUGAAAGCGGGGGAUUCGCAAGAACCUCGCGCUAUCGGAGCGGCCGAUGUCUGAUUAGCUAGUUGGCGGGGUAAAAGCCCACCAAGGCUUCGAUCAGUAGCUGGUCUGAGAGGACGACCAGCCACACUGGGACUGAGACACGGCCCAGACUCCUACGGGAGCAGCAGUGGGGAAUUUUGGACAAUGGGCGCAAGCCUGAUCCAGCCAUGCCGCGUGUGUGAAGAAGGUCUUCGGAUUGUAAAGCACUUUAAGUUGGGAGGAAGGGC